AAGGAUUAUCUGCUUCCAGGCUGCUGUUGACUACAGGAAUAUUGGGACACAAACCUGCAUACCUUCUCAGAUAUGUGCAACCACCUCCCUCUCCCCCUUGCCACCUCCCCACUCAGCUGGGGCCUCCUCUAAGUCACUUUUGGACCUGGAUGAAAUGCCACACUGCAGGGCAUGGGAUCUAUACCAUCCUGAGUAGCCACAAAGGACCCGGAUGAAACAACUUGGGAGUGCAGAGGAGUCAGCUGCCCAGUGGAUAAACCUCGAACAACUAGGAACAGGAGACAGGAGGAAACCAGAUAGGAUAAUAUGAAAAAUGACUUGUGUUUCCUGGGUACAAGCCAAAUGAUGGGAGCAUAACUGAAGCUGGACCAAUUCAACAUGGGCAUAACAAUUCACCACAAAUAAAAUGGAAAGCAUAGUAAUUAUAAGAGAUAAAUGAGAUUUGACUAUAAGUAUUAAAAAUAAAAUAUUUUAAAGCACAAUUCCAUAUUAAGCUCUAUAUGGAAUUAGACUCCUAGAGAUGCUACUAAAGAAAAAUUCUGUGCUAUAUUAGAGGGCACAAGCUAAGAGAAAUAAAUAUAUCUAGAGACCCCUUGGUGGUUGCAUUGCCAGUCUUAA